AUUGAACGCUGGCGGCAGGCCUAACACAUGCAAGUCGAGCGGAUGAAGGGAGCUUGCUCCUGGAUUCAGCGGCGGACGGGUGAGUAAUGCCUAGGAAUCUGCCUGGUAGUGGGGGAUAACGUCCGGAAACGGGCGCUAAUACCGCAUACGUCCUGAGGGAGAAAGUGGGGGAUCUUCGGACCUCACGCUAUCAGAUGAGCCUAGGUCGGAUUAGCUAGUUGGUGGGGUAAAGGCCUACCAAGGCGACGAUCCGUAACUGGUCUGAGAGGAUGAUCAGUCACACUGGAACUGAGACACGGUCCAGACUCCUACGGGAGGCAGCAGUGGGGAAUAUUGGACAAUGGGCGAAAGCCUGAUCCAGCCAUGCCGCGUGUGUGAAGAAGGUCUUCGGAUUGUAAAGCACUUUAAGUUGGGGGGAAGGGCAGUAAGUUAAUACCUUGCUGCUUUGACGUUACCAACAGAAUAAGCACCGGCUAACUUCGUG
rnacentral:rRNA from 1 species